rnacentral:rRNA from 1 species
GUAGGGUGCGAGCGUUGUCCGGAUUUAUUGGGCGUAAAGGGCUCGUAGGUGGUUGAUCGCGUCGGAAGUGUAAUCUUGGGGCUUAACCCUGAGCGUGCUUUCGAUACGGGUUGACUUGAGGAAGGUAGGGGAGAAUGGAAUUCCUGGUGGAGCGGUGGAAUGCGCAGAUAUCAGGAGGAACACCAGUGGCGAAGGCGGUUCUCUGGGCCUUUCCUGACGCUGAGGAGCGAAAGCGUGGGGAGCGAACAGGCUUAGAUACCCUGGUAGUCCACGCUGUAAACGGUGGGUACUAGGUGUGGGGACCCAUUCCCACGGGUUCCGUGCCGUAGCUAACGCUUUAAGUACCCCGCCUGGGGAGUACGGCCGCAAGGCUA